rnacentral:lncRNA from 1 species
UGUUGCUGUUCUAGAGGAGUACCGGCUACAGGUAGUUUUAAUUUUUUGUUCAUAUACAUACUGAUGUUGGACACUUGCUGGAGCGAGUGAUGUCUGUAUUCUGGAGACUAUGUAUGUAUAGUGAACCUGAUGGUUAUUUAUAUUUGUUUACAGUUUUGUUAGUAGCUUUAUACUCCUAGUUGUAGUUUUGUAUGAUUACAGGUACAGCUACAACUAUCGCUUCAUAUAUAGAGAAAAUUCUUUUGUAUAUGGUGGGUCUGUUGGUGUGCCCGGAAAAACGUGGUAAUCCGGCGCGUGACAUGUAUUUUAACAAAUAGUGUUUGGUUCGAAGACGGAGUCAAAAUCGGAAUCGGAAUUAAAAUAAGCUGGGAUCGGAAUCGGAAUGACUCAUUACCUAAUUCUGUUUGGUUCAUCACCUGAAUCGGAAUCGGAAUAAAUCAUUCCCAUUAAUCCAUUAUCGGUGUUUGGUUGAAGUAGAUAUAAAAAACGUAAUCAAAUUAAUAUACUAACAUUAUCUUUAUAAUAUAUUAAUUUAAAUUCAAAUUAAAACAAUUAAAUAUUAAAAAUUUACAUUAAAAUUUUGAAAUAAUGUCAACAUUUUAAAUCUAUUUUUUUAAAAAAUUAUACUUUGAAGUUGAGUGGAUAAUUCAAAAUAUGAAACUAAAUUUUGAUUUAUUCAAAUUCAAAUUUAAAAUUACAAUUUAAAUUUUAAUUUGAAUCCUAAAUUUAAUUUAAGUUUGAAAUAAACUUUGAAUAAAACUUUAUAUAAAUUAAAAUUUAAUUUAAAUUCAAAUUUAUAAGUUAGAUUCGAAAUACUUGAUUAAAUUUUAAUUUUUAAUUUAAAUUAAAAUUAAAAUUUAAAAUUAUAUAUUAAUUUUUAAAUUUUAACUUAUAUUUUAUUUAAAAAAGUUGAAAAAAUAAAUUUAAUCCGAAUAAAUAUCCAUUCCGUCCGAAUUCAACUUCCAAUCCGGCCUCCUAGGCCGGAUUGAAAAAGAGGUGAUUAGGGGGUUCCCAUUCCACUCGGAAUUCGGAAUCGGAAUGAGACUCCCGCGUACCAAACAUCCACAACGGAUUCGCCCAUUCCGAUUUCGAUUUCAAGGUGAAAAGGAAGCGAACCAAACACGCCCUAACAGUUAAUAAGUAAUAAAAUAAUUAAAUUUGAUUAAUUUUUUAACGCAACUAAAAAAAAAAAAAUUAGAAGUUGAAAGACCUUUGGUUAAGAAAACAAAUAAAUAGAUAAAAGUUUGAUGAGCUAUUUCACAAAUGACUUAUAGUUGAUGGGUGCCCAUACACUUUUACGUUUUAGAUAACUUUUACAUUAACGACGCGUUUGGUUUGCGUUAUAUAACAUUACAGAUUAUUUCGACAUAUUCAAAUAUCUUGAAUUUGAGUAGAGCUAGAAUACUUCCAAAAGCACCAAUGAGUUAGUGCCUUUGAGUUUUUAGCCCUUUGAUGGAGAGAUGUAGGGUUGAGAUGAUGGUGGUAGGUGGUGGUAGGUGGUGGUAGGUGGAAUAGUGUUUGAUCCAAGGGGUAUUAGCAAUUGGGGAGUAGAUCUAAGGGUUAGAAACUUAGAAGCACCAAUGAAUUGGUGCUUCUAAAAGUAUUCUAGCUCUACUCCUUGAAUUUUUGAAUAAGAUUACUACUGAUGCUGCAUUAGCGUGUUUAGUUUAACACAAUAAUGUAAUGCUAGAUUGCAGUGUAUAUAGCAUUACUGUAUUUGAUUCAGCUUAUAAAAUUAAGUAAUUCUGACAACAAAUGUAUUCUAUUUCAAAAUUGUCCUUAGUUAUAUUUGGCAAAUUUUUUUUUACAAAAAUGACUUAUAGUUGAUGGGUGCCCAUACACUUUUACGCUUUAGAUAAUUUUUACAUUAAUGACGCGUUUGGUUCAUGUUAUACAACAUUACAGAUUAUUUUGAUAUAUUUAGAUAUCUUGUAUUUUUUAAUGAGAUUACUAUUGAUGUUGCAUUAGCGUGUUUGGUUUAAGACAGUAAUAUAAUAUUGGAUUGCAGUGUAUAUAGCAUUAUUAUAUUUGAUUCAGUUUAUAAAAUUAAGUAAUCCUGACUACAAGUGUAUUUUAUUAUUUCAAAAUUGUCCUUAGUUAUAUUUGGCAAAAUUUUUUAUUGACAUAUAAUAAUUUUUUUACUAAAUUUUAUUUUAAAUAAUUUAAAAUUUGAAUUUAUAUUUUAUUUUUUAUUUUUAAAUUUUAAAUUUUAAAUUUUAAAUUUUAAAUCUGAAUAAAAACAUAAAAUUUAAUUUUUUAACUUAAAAUAUAAAUAUGAAAUUUAAAAUUUAAAAUUUAAAAUUUAGAAUUUAAAAUCUAUAUUUGAAGUAUAAAAUUUAAAAUUUGAAAC